AGCGAACGCUGGCGGCAGGCCUAACACAUGCAAGUCGAACGAACUCUUCGGAGUUAGUGGCGGACGGGUGAGUAACACGUGGGAACGUGCCCUUUGGUACGGAAUAACUCAGGGAAACUUGAGCCAAUACCGCAUGUGCCCUUCGGGGGAAAGAUUUAUCGCCAUGGGAGCGGCCCUCGUCUGAUUAGCUAGUUGGUGAGGUAAAGGCUCACCAAGGCUACGAUCAGUAGCUGGUCUGAGAGGAUGAUCAGCCACAUUGGGACUGAGACACGGCCCAAACUCCUACGGGAGGCAGCAGUGGGGAAUCUUGCGCAAGGGGCGAAAGCCUGACGCAGCCAUGCCGCGUGAAUGAUGAAGGUCUUAGGAUUGUAAAAUUCUUUCACCGGGGACGAUAAUGACGGUACCCGGAGAAGAAGCCCCGGCUAACUUCGUG
rnacentral:rRNA from 1 species